rnacentral:rRNA from 1 species
UACGGAGGGUGCAAGCGUUAAUCGGAAUUACUGGGCGUAAAGCGUGCGCAGGCGGUUUGUUAAGUCCGUUGUGAAAGCCCCGAGCUCAACUUGGGAAUUGCAGUGGAUACUGGCAGGCUGGAGUACGGUAGAGGAAGGUGGAAUUCCCGGUGUAGCAGUGAAAUGCGUAGAUAGUCGGGAGGAACACCAGUGGCGAAGGCGGCCUUCUGGACCAGUACUGACGCUCAGUGCACGAAAGCGUGGGGAGCAAACAGG